AACAUCAGCUGCUGAUCGGACAGCAAUCUCGCACAAUAGAUCUGUCUGCGAUGAGGUAUUGACAAAAAAACACGCAUACCAGAGGUGGGUGAUCAUUACUUGAAGAUGGUUCUGAAUCCUCAGGUGCUUCCUAGCGGGAUGCUGGGAUCUUUCGUGAACGACAUAUUCGUAUUGGCCAGGGAUGGCAGGAAAUUGUAGGUUGAGAAGAUCCCAGGUUUGUGCAAAAAGGUGAAAAGGAGAAAAGAAAAAUGCGAUUCAAAAUUGGAAAAGUAGUAGUGGUUUUUUUGUUUUUAAUCCAAUCAAAAUUCAACCAAAAAAAAUCUUAAAUUUAUCCAAAACUCAACCAAAAAUCUACCCAAAACCCAAACAAAACCCAUGCAAAACCCAAGCAAUAGCCUGGAAGUAAGGAGGUCCAUUGGCCCAGUUCAUUUCUCCAAAAAAAAAAAAAAAAUCUCUAUUCACGCACGCAUUCCUUUUUCAUGCAAAGUAUGAAACCAGAAGCACAAAUGCAGAAUAGCUGGAAAUUUUGGGGCAGAUUUUAUUUGAUGGAUUUUUCCUCCUUUUCUCUCUCCAUGUUUUGGAUAGUACAGGACUAGUUCAUCACUCGAAUUUCUAUCCAAAAAUCAAGUCAACAAGCAGAUCAAAAGGGUCAAAAUAAGCAACAUAAACCCACAUUCAAUCCAAACCCUUAUUCUUAGGCUUUGGGAGUUCUAUUCCAUUUAAAUAUCUAGCAAAGAGAGAUUUUAGGGUUUCUAAGAAAGGGAAACGAGUGAGGGGGCGGUUGCACAAGAUCUGGGAGUGUGAGGAGAGAGAAAAGGCAAGAAAACAAAAGCAGCUUUUUCUGCAAAAUCUGGAAACAAGCUAGUGGACCAGCUCUCUUCCAAUUUGAUUUUCUCUCUCUUUAUUGAUCUAGUGAUUAUUUUUUAUGCACCUUCUAAGGAUAUAGAGGAAUAAAUUUUGUGUUGAAAUAUUUUUCUGAUAACCAGUACGGAGCCCUCAAAUCGAAGCCUGAAACUGCCUUCCUAAAAAAGUUUUCUUCCAAAACAGUGAACAGGCUGGUCGACCAGUCAUGUUCGUCAUCAUUUUCCCGCUUCUAUUGAGAUCUUUCUGGUGAUUUCUAUGUUUCUGCGUCUUCUACAUUUCAUUAGAGAAACUUUUGCGUUGAGAGGUUUCAAGAAAAACAGCUUCAAGACGAUCAAAUCAGAGCUUGAAGUUGCUCCCUUGGCAAUUCUGGGCACCAACAGCAGCCACUGGAUCUUGCUUCGUUUCGACAUCUACACACUUUUCUGGGACUUUGCAACGCUCAAUAAGCAUCACAGAUAACCUUUAUUCAUACUUUCCUUUGGAUAUAAGCUCACAUCUGCAUUUACAUCCAUUAAAUAUGAGAUCAAAAGUCUUGCCUUUGCUGUGCAUGUUUCAUUUUUCUCCACUUCAUGUUACAUAUUCUUGUAUUGGGUUCCAAAAUCUUGCCUUUGGACGUUUGAAUCUUGUGUUGGUGUUUGGGGUUGAAUGAUCUUGUGCUUGUGUUUGGCCAGAAAAAAAAAAUAUUUGGUUUUUCCCUUUUAUUCAAGAUUGAAUAGUUAUUUUUGGUGUUUCAUUUGAAUGUUUUCUUGGCUGGUUGAACACUUAGAGUCUUCAUUAGUUUGCUGAUUCCGCCUGAGUUUGGAGGAUGAUAAUGAAUAUUUGCAUUUUGCCCCUCUCCCUAAUUUUGGUUUAAUUGCACUAAGGUUCAAAAGAUUGUGAAAAUGGAUUAAAUUUCUUCCCUUCAAAGCCUUAAUUUCUUUUCAUAUGUUUAUGCAUGUUUUGACUAAAUUAAUUUGGGUUUUUAGAGUAUAGUUGGGGCUUUGAAUAGAAUUUGUUGGUUUUAGAUAACUUAAUUAGACAAUUUUAAAAAUUUAUGCAAAUGAAUUAGAUAAGAAAUGGGCUGAUAUGUUAUUUUUUGUUAAGUUUGUGAUAUGGGCUUUGAAACUCAAGCCCAAUAUCUUUAUUAGGUUUAGGGUUGUAAAAAUGAAUUGGGUUGGGCUAUCUAUAAAUAAGAUGGAUUUGCCUAUUUUUCUUGGGCCGAAGUGACAUGGCCCAAAUGUAUAAAAUGGCCUAAUAUUGUUUUCUUGUGUAAUCAGUUAAGCCAUUUGGCUCGUGAUCUUUUGAGUAAUUUUCUUGUGGUUCAAAAAUUUUGAAUUUCUUUCACUUAGACCUUUAAUUUAAUUAUAUUUUGGCCCUCAAACUUUAUUUUUAUUGAAUUUUGACCCUCAAUCUUUUGUAAAAUUAUAUUUUGAUCCCAAAAUUUUUUUAAUUUUUGCAAUGUAGCUCCUGACUUUUUUUAUUAUUUUGUUAUUUCUCAAUUACAAUUAGGGUUUUAGCCAUGGUUCGUGAGCGUUUAGACCUCCAUUCACCUACGGAUUUGAGACAAUCGUUGUCCUUCAUUUCUACGAUGCCGUCUACAUGUUCAUGCGAAGUGAUUGUUUCCCAUUCUUUCAUGUUGCUACCAACAAGAGCUAAGUUUUUGAUGUGCAACUUGAGGUCGUGUGCAUCUUCCGCUUGCAUAGACGACAUGCUAUUUUGUUAGUCUUUUUCAAGAUAUGGUCGACAUUUUGCUAUAUUACUUGUUCGCAAGAGGUCCGAGGCUAUUGGAGGGUUCUUGAACAUGCAAUAUGUACUUGGUGCAUGAACUUCUACAAGCUAUCCUAGCGACAUGUCCAAACAAUUGUGUGGAUGUUGACAUCUAUGAGCAUCAUCCAUUCAAUGAGAACCAAUGUGUGGCUGUUUCGUCAAGGAAUUCAUCAAUCACUUGCUGCUUUUCAAUCAUCCUAUCCACGAUUUGAGGACAAAUCUUUUCAAGAGGAGGGGAAUGAUGUAAAAUGGAGCUUCCAAUUGUUUAAUUCAUCCAAGACAAAUGAGCUCAAGUGAUUCAAGUUAUCAUACCUUAUUAUUAUUAGUACUUUUACUGUGAUAUUUAUUUAGUUAGUAGGAAUAAAGUUCGGUCCAAAAUCUCAUGUUGAUAGAUGUCAUUUUGUUAGCUAAUUAGUAGGUUAAGUUCGGCCAGCUUAAGGCCUUAUUAGGCCCGAAUUUAGUCUUUAGUAGUUAGGGUAGUUGGGUCAAGCCGUGGCUCAACCCAUCUUGGGAGUUGGUAGGUUAUUUAUAUUUGUAUUUUUCUUUCGUUUUGGGAGAUGAGAGUUUGGUGAAUUUUCCAGCAAAGUGCUGUUAGGAAAACCUCUUUUUCAUGGCUUGCAAAAGCUAGCUACAGAAUCUUAGUGCUGUUCCUGAGGU